rnacentral:rRNA from 1 species
UUAAAUUGAAGAGUUUGAUCAUGGCUCAGAUUGAACGCUGGCGGCAGGCCUAACACAUGCAAGUCGAACGGUAACAGGAAGCAGCUUGCUGCUUCGCUGACGAGUGGCGGACGGGUGAGUAAUGUCUGGGAAACUGCCUGAUGGAGGGGGAUAACUACUGGAAACGGUGGCUAAUACCGCAUAACGUCGCAAGACCAAAGAGGGGGACCUUCGGGCCUCUUGCCAUCAGAUGUGCCCAGAUGGGAUUAGCUUGUUGGUGAGGUAACGGCUCACCAAGGCGACGAUCCCUAGCUGGUCUGAGAGGAUGACCAGCCACACUGGAACUGAGACACGGUCCAGACUCCUACGGGAGGCAGCAGUGGGGAAUAUUGCACAAUGGGCGCAAGCCUGAUGCAGCCAUGCCGCGUGUAUGAAGAAGGCCUUCGGGUUGUAAAGUACUUUCAGCGGGGAGGAAGGUGUUGUGGUUAAUAACCGCAGCAAUUGACGUUACCCGCAGAAGAAGCACCGGCUAACUCCGUGCCAGCAGCCGCGGUAAUACGGAGGGUGCAAGCGUUAAUCGGAAUUACUGGGCGUAAAGCGCACGCAGGCGGUCUGUCAAGUCGGAUGUGAAAUCCCCGGGCUCAACCUGGGAACUGCAUUCGAAACUGGCAGGCUUGAGUCUUGUAGAGGGGGGUAGAAUUCCAGGUGUAGCGGUGAAAUGCGUAGAGAUCUGGAGGAAUACCGGUGGCGAAGGCGGCCCCCUGGACAAAGACUGACGCUCAGGUGCGAAAGCGUGGGGAGCAAACAGGAUUAGAUACCCUGGUAGUCCACGCCGUAAACGAUGUCUACUUGGAGGUUGUGCCCUUGAGGCGUGGCUUCCGGAGCUAACGCGUUAAGUAGACCGCCUGGGGAGUACGGCCGCAAGGUUAAAACUCAAAUGAAUUGACGGGGGCCCGCACAAGCGGUGGAGCAUGUGGUUUAAUUCGAUGCAACGCGAAGAACCUUACCUGGUCUUGACAUCCACAGAACUUUCCAGAGAUGGACUGGUGCCUUCGGGAACUGUGAGACAGGUGCUGCAUGGCUGUCGUCAGCUCGUGUUGUGAAAUGUUGGGUUAAGUCCCGCAACGAGCGCAACCCUUAUCCUUUGUUGCCAGCGGUCCGGCCGGGAACUCAAAGGAGACUGCCAGUGAUAAACUGGAGGAAGGUGGGGAUGACGUCAAGUCAUCAUGGCCCUUACGACCAGGGCUACACACGUGCUACAAUGGCGCAUACAAAGAGAAGCGACCUCGCGAGAGCAAGCGGACCUCAUAAAGUGCGUCGUAGUCCGGAUUGGAGUCUGCAACUCGACUCCAUGAAGUCGGAAUCGCUAGUAAUCGUGGAUCAGAAUGCCACGGUGAAUACGUUCCCGGGCCUUGUACACACCGCCCGUCACACCAUGGGAGUGGGUUGCAAAAGAAGUAGGUAGCUUAACCUUCGGGAGGGCGCUUACCACUUUGUGAUUCAUGACUGGGGUGAAGUCGUAACAAGGUAACCGUAGGGGAACCUGCGGUUGGAUCACCUCCUUACCUGAAAGAAGC